GUGAGUGGAUGCUCAGCCCAUGUGUCAGCUGGUUGCACAGUGUACUCCUCACCCUCGCUGAGAGCUUUUGUGGCAGAUGAAGGGAGCUGCCUGUUCGGUGGGGUCACUGCUCUCUUUGUAGGAGAAAUGGAAUUUUCCUGCAUGUAUUCAGUUCCCAUACCGUAUACUGAAUACAGUAAUGUUCUUAGUGAGCAGUGCUAGCUACCUACAUAAAGCCAUUUUGUUAAUCUUGUGACUGUUGUGUGAUUACAAUUAAUUAGCUACCUGUAGCAUGCUAUAAAAAUGUAUUGGAUUAAUUUUGUUUGGUACAACGGAGUGUGGUUGAAGGUUGUACUUCAGCUGUGUGCUUGGUUCUGCCCUAAUUAAAAUUCUCAUGCGAAUGAAAGCAAUGUCUUACACAGAGACUGAUAUUUCUGAUAUCAUAGUUUCAGCCUAAUUGCUUAUUAUGAUGUUUAAAUGAUUGGCCUUGUUAAUUUAACAUGUUUUCCCCAAAGUGGGACGGAAUAUUUAUUUGCAUUUGAAUUGUGGCAGUCAGACAGCUCCCGCCUGCAGAAAUGACUGCUGUUUCACAUUCACCUUUCAGGUUUAAAAGCGGCAGUAGCAAAGUGCUCAUUGCAGUGGCAGUACUUGGGUUUCAUUUGGCUUGGGUGAAGCCAGAUGUGCUGGCUAUGGGACUGUGUACUGUCAGUCAUGGAAAUGCAUUCAUAUAAUCUCCUGAAAUAGAUCUUCAGUGAAGAGAAGGAAGAAAGUAAUGCCGGAUGAAGGCUGCUGAAGUAGUGAAGAAAUCUUGUAUGUGUCAGGAAUUCAAAUAUAUAUGUACAUAUAUGCAUCUGAUUUGAGAACCUCUGAAACAAUGUGAUUGAUAGAACUGAUGGAAUGUUUUUUGGUUUCAUUUUGCGGCAUGACAGCAGAGUUGACUGAAUUCUCAACUUUGUACAAACAGCUUUUAAAAGCAAAAUAAAAUUGCAACUGCAGUGAAAUGUUAGUGUGCUUAUGCAAAUACCUGUUUCAGUCACACAGUGUAUUUUAACUCGCUUGUUCUCAGUCUACAGUGAGUUUAUCACUGACAAGUAUCAGGGAGUUGCUAUGGAUAUGUAGCAUAUGUAUAAAUGCAAACAUACGCAUAUACAUAUAAAUGCAUAUACAUAAAUAUACGGAUGUAUAUGUAUAUAUACAGCAUGUAUGUAUAAAUAUGGAGUAGGUCCAGGGGAGGGCCACUGAAAUGGUCAGAGGGCUGGAGCACCUCUCCUAUGAGGAAAGGUUGAGGGAACUGGGCUUGUUUAGCUUGGAGAAGAGAAGACUCCAGGGAGACCUCAUUGUGGCCUUCCAGUACUUGAAGGGAGUAUAUAAACAGGAGGGGGAGUGGCUGUUUAUGAGGGUGGAUAGUGAUAGGACAAGGGGGAAUGGUCUUAAACUGAGGCAGGGGAGGUUUAGGUUGGAUAUUAGGAGGAAGUUUUUCACCCAGAGGGUGGUGAUGCACUGGAUCAGGUUGCCCAAGGAGGUUGUGGAUGCCCCAUCCCUGGAGGCAUUCAAGGCCAGGCUGGAUGUGGCUCUGGGCAGCCUGGUCUGGUGGUUGGUGACCCUGCACAUAGCAGGGAGGUUGAAACUCAUUGAUCAUUAUGGUCCUUUUCAACCCAGGCCACUCUAUGAUUCUAUGAUAUAUAUAUGUAUUAUACACAGUUGUCUUUAAAAGAACUGGAAACUGACCCUAUCUUUAUUAACUCAGUAACCUGGACAUGUAAGAAAAAAGCCUCAAAUACUAAAAAUGGUACAAAAGCUUUUGGCUGAUGCAAGAGACAACUUGAGGUCUAGGCAGUGAGGGAAAUCAAAAACAGGUAAAGGAGCAGAUUAAGACAUAAUAGCUACCAUUAGGUUUUUAAAAUAAAAAAUACAUGAAUUCAAAAAAUGUGAUGUUUUAUGAUUGGUAAUUUGUGCAAAACAAAUUUGUACAAGACAAAUUAACAACGGAAACCAAGAAACUGACUGCAUUGAAUUUAUUUUGCUUUAACUGAGAGCUUUAAAUGCUUUUCUAGCUUGACAUUGAGUGUGAUAGAGGAAAACCAGUGGUAAACCAAUGGAAACCAAUGGAAACCAAUGGAAAACCAUUACAGGGCAUGCUUGAAAUACAUUUAACUUUCUAACAAGUCUAGAAAAGAUUAACCCAGAUGAAAAUGUUUCUGAAAACAAAUACCUCUGACAAAGAUUCUUUACACCGUAGGUCAGCAGGUAGUAAAAUACCUAUUAGAAAAUCUGAUGAGCAUUUCUUAGUCAAAUAACUACUGUGUCCUUCUUUAAGGAGUAAUAAGUACACAGUAUCGGCAGAGUAGUUCCUGUAGGUCAUACCCAAAUUUACUUUUGAUGUUUGUAUACAAAUAUUGGUUGCAAAGGGUCAAGCAUAAGUUUUAACAACAAUCUGGAUUGUGAAUCACUCUUGUGAGCUCUUCCAUCCCAAGAUGCUGAAAAUGAAAGUCUUUAAACUUGCAUCCUUUCUUACGCCUGCUCAAGAACAUUCCACAGCUCUAAGGAAUAUCAUUCCAAGUGCAGAGCACGGAUGCUGGGCCUGGGCAGUAUGCAGAGAUUCCCUACUGAGUUUCUGCAGGAUCUUAGAGAGCCCCAGAUAGCCAGGGAAAAUUGUUAAGAGGUCAAGGACUGUAGAGCAGCCAAGCAUCUGAUCUGGCAUUAAACAUGACUUUGGAGGAAGAAACUAUCCCUCUUAUGGUAAGUAUAACCUGAUUCUGUAAACAGUUGUUUAUUCUGUAACUUUCACAGUGAAAACCAUUGCUGUAGGAGUUUUGGUUCCAGAAUCAGUCUCCAGUCUGUUCAUCCACUACCACCAAAAAAUUUUCCUAACGGAAAGCAAGAUGUGCAUUUCUCUAUAGGACAAAGAUGUAGCUGGGAAGAGGGAAUUCGGGAGUUGUCAGAUUCUUGUAGUUAAACCUUUUUCUCCUCCAAAUUAUAACAUAGUAGAACCAUAGAAUGGCUUGAGUUGAAAGGGACCUCAAGGAUCAUGAAGCUUCAGCCCCUCCACUACAGGCUGGGCCACCAACCUCCAUAUCUAAUACUACACGAGACUGCCCAGGGCCCCAUCCAACCUGGCCACGAACACCUCCAGGGACGGGGCAUCCACAAGUUCUUUGGGCAGGCUGUUCCAGCACCUCACCACUCUGUUGUGAAGAACAUUCCCCUGAUAUUGAACCUAAAUCUUCCCUCCUCCAACUUGAAACCAUUUCCCCUUGACCUGCCAUUAUCUACCCUUUUGAGGAGUUGACUCCCCUCCUGUUUGUAGGCUCCUUUUAGGUACUGGAAGGCUGCAGUGAGGUCACCCCUCAUCCUUCUCUUCUCCAGGCUGAACAAGCCCAGCUCCCUCAGCCUGUCUUUGUAGGUGAGGUGCUCCAGCUCUCUGAUCAUCUUUGUGGCCCUCCUCUGGACCCUCUAACAUUCCAUUUUCUGGAACAUUUGACUUUUCAGUGCCUCUAAAAUAUAUUUUCUUGUAAUUUUGUAUUGUUUUUGAUGUGGUAAAAUUCUAAUAUGGCCUCGCUUCUAUGUUAAUUAAGAAAUAGCACAUGGUUACAUUUCAGCUGGACACUUGCUAAUAGAAAAGCACCAUUUGGACUUAGUCUGCCUGUGGCUGUACUUCUCAUAAUAAAAUCACUUCUUGAUGCCUCUGUUUCCCUUCAGUCUGCAUCUUGUCAGCUGGAAUUGCGUGCCCCCUCUGAGAAAGAAACUGUCUCCCAGUACUUAGUACCAUGGAUGCCUGGUCCCAGCUGGAACCUCUUUGCAUUACUCUUACACAAAUAAUAUGGAAAUAAUUGAAUCCCACCAGUGACAAACCUAAUAAUCCAACAGCAGCUUGUUCAAACUCAGAUGAUGCUGGGAUCAUUGUGCUGAUACAAGACAGACUUUGUUGUCUGACUGCUAAUACGGGCACCUCAGUGUGGCUCCUGUGAGUGGAGACAUGGCUUUUGGACUUGCAUCCUGGCAAGCUGGGAUGCUCUGUGUAACCUAUAGGUGGUUGUCAGCUGAAAUUUCUCAGUAGUUACAUGCCUUUCUGCUCCUCCAUUUGAAUUACUAAGUCUGUAAUAGAAUUACAGAAUAUCUAUGCCAGAAAUGUUUACACAGCAGGCAGCAUGCCAAAGGCUUGAUGAUAUCAUAACUUAAUUAAAUGUGAGUGUAUGUAUGAACUAAAAGAUAAUUCAGUUGAGCUUAGGGUAUAUGGCCUCUCCUUACCAUGCUUUCCUGCUUAACCUACAACUUCUUGGCCAGAUGAUUUUUGUCUUCUGCAAAGACAAGAAGUCUUUUUUAUGAUGCUGAUUACAUCCCAAGCUCGUUCACAAAUACUACAUAAUUACAGCACUUUCCUCUUCCUGUUCACAUUCUUCUACCUUUUUCACUUUUCUUUCCCCCAGACUAACACUGCUUCUAUUUUUUCCUGAUACAAUAAAUCUACAUGUGACUUCCCAGAUUUCUUCCUUCUCCUCUUCCUUUCUCUUAAACAGCCCUAUUAUCUCUCUUCAAACUAUGUGCUCUUUCUGAGGCUGAUUUUUAUUUCUUUCUCCCAGUCCUAGGUUUUCCUUCACCCGUUCCUUUGUCCUCACCCAUCUCAGGCGUCUGCCUGCCCUGUGCUCGCUGCAGAGGUGGGGAAGACACCUCUGGUUGCACUGGCUACAACCACGAGAUGGCACUGUUUGCGGGCUGGAUGUCACCUGUCCAAAUCCUCGCGGAGGUGAUGCCCCUCCUUGAAGAGCAACGUGAUAGUAACGUUAUGUUUCUAAUUUGGUUCAUUAGAGAUCUUCAGUGUAUCCUUAUGAGGCAGGAGCUGGCCUUAAAAACGAGUGAGCAGUGCCAGGAUUUGUGCCUCACGUCUCACUGGCUCACUGCUAUUACCUAUCCUUUCAAAGAGUUGACUCUCCUCCUGUUUAUAGAGUCCCUUUAGGUACUGGAAGGCUGAAAUUAGGUCGCCCCGCAGACUUCUCUUCUCCAGGCUGAACAAGCCCAGCUCCCUCAGCCUGUCUUUGUAGGUGAGGUGCUCCUGCCUUCUAAUCAUCUUUGCGGUCCUUCUCUGGACCCUCUCCAACAGGUUUUAAUGUCUUGACAUACAACCAGUUUCCUACUUUUCUUUCACUGGCUGUGCAGAAUCUGUAUGCUGGCCACAAGAAGUGAGAAGUGUAGUGAUCAUGGGA
rnacentral:lncRNA from 1 species